rnacentral:tRNA from 1 species
GGGGCGUUAGUCAAAUGGUAAAGACACCAUCCUUUCAAGGUGGAAACAUGGGUUCAAUUCCCAUACGCCCUACCA